rnacentral:rRNA from 1 species
UGACGUUAGCGGCGGACGGGUGAGUAACACGUGGGCAACCUGCCUGUAUUACUGGGAUAACUUCGGGAAACCGAAGCUAAUACCGGAUAGGAUCUUCUCCUUCAUGGGAGAUGAUUGAAAGAUGGUUUCGGCUAUCACUUACAGAUGGGCCCGCGGUGCAUUAGCUAGUUGGUGAGGUAACGGCUCACCAAGGCAACGAUGCAUAGCCGACCUGAGAGGGUGAUCGGCCACACUGGGACUGAGACACGGCCCAGACUCCUACGGGAGGCAGCAGUAGGGAAUCUUCCGCAAUGGACGAAAGUCUGACGGAGCAACGCCGCGUGAGUGAUGAAGGCUUUCGGGUCGUAAAACUCUGUUGUUAGGGAAGAACAAGUACRAGAGUAACUGCUYGUACCUUGACGGUACCUAACCAGAAAGCYACGGCUAACUACGUGCCAGCAGCCGCGGUAAUACGUAGGUGGCAAGCGUUAUCCGGAAUUAUUGGGCGUAAAGCGCGCGCAGGCGGUUUCUUAAGUCUGAUGUGAAAGCCCACGGCUCAACCGUGGAGGGUCAUUGGAAACUGGGRAACUUGAGUGCAGAAGAGAAAAGCGGAAUUCCACGUGUAGCGGUGAAAUGCGUAGAGAUGUGGAGGAACACCAGUGGCGAAAGCGGCUUUUUGGUCUGUAACUGACGCUGA